AUUUAUUGCCGAUGUAAACUUUGCUUUUCAGUGCAGCUGCUUGGGUACUACGAGCGAGUGCUUAAAACUCAAAGAACUUGGCGGCUUGUUAACUACCUAGGGGAAUAUGCGCCUUAAUCCGAUGAUCCCCGUCAUAUCUUACUGAGUCUUGAAAAAGUGCAGCUGGUGUAUUGCCGUUGUCAGCUUGUUGUUCGAGCAAAGAGAAACAGGCUUAAUGGAUCCCGGUGAUAAUCUUCAUGGGAAUCCAUGAAUUCAGGUCGUAAUACUGCCUAUGGCUCAAGGGAGCGGGUGUUACAAUUCAUAUUUGGAAUUACGGAUCCUCAUUGUGGAAUCUUGGGGUGAAGGUGAACUUAGGAGUAAGGAGAGAUUAAUGUGCUUUCCUGAACAUGAAUCUAACUCGUGUACAAACUGCCCGUCGCUCUCGGCGAGAGCUGAGAU
rnacentral:rRNA from 1 species